ACGCUGGCGGCAGGCCUAACACAUGCAAGUCGAGCGGAAACGACACCAUCGAUCCUUCGGAUGCGUUAAUGGGCGUCGAGCGGCGGACGGGUGAGUAAUGCCUAGGAAAUUGCCUUGAUGUGGGGGAUAACCAUUGGAAACGAUGGCUAAUACCGCAUAAUGCCUACGGGCCAAAGAGGGGGAUCUUCGGACCUCUCGCGUCAAGAUAUGCCUAGGUGGGAUUAGCUAGUUGGUGAGGUAAUGGCUCACCAAGGCGACGAUCCCUAGCUGGUCUGAGAGGAUGAUCAGCCACACUGGAACUGAGACACGGUCCAGACUCCUACGGGAGGCAGCAGUGGGGAAUAUUGCACAAUGGGCGAAAGCCUGAUGCAGCCAUGCCGCGUGUAUGAAGAAGGCCUUCGGGUUGUAAAGUACUUUCAGUUGUGAGGAAGGGKGUGUAGUUAAUAGCUGCRYAUCUUGACGUUAGCAACAGAAGAAGCACCGGCUAACUCCGUGCCAGCAGCCGCGGUAAUACGGAGGGUGCGAGCGUUAAUCGGAAUUACUGGGCGUAAAGCGCAUGCAGGUGGUUCAUUAAGUCAGAUGUGAAAGCCCGGGGCUCAACCUCGGAACUGCAUUUGAAACUGGUGAACUAGAGUGCUGUAGAGGGGGGUAGAAUUUCAGGUGUAGCGGUGAAAUGCGUAGAGAUCUGAAGGAAUACCAGUGGCGAAGGCGGCCCCCUGGACA
rnacentral:rRNA from 1 species